rnacentral:rRNA from 1 species
UGGGGAAUCUUCCGCAAUGGGUGAAAGCCUGACGGAGCGACGCCGCGUGGAUGAUGAAGGUCUUCGGAUUGUAAAAUCCUGUAGAGGGGGAAGAUGGGUGCCGUAAGGCAUUUGACAGUACCCCUAAAGUAAGCUACGGCAAACUCUGUGCCAGCAGCCGCGGUUAUACAGAGGUAGCUAGCGUUGUUCGGAAUGACUGGGUGUAAAGCGCAUGUAGGCGGUUUUGUAAGUUGAAUGUGAAAUCUUCCGGCUUAACCGGAAAACUGCAUUCAAAACUGCAUUACUUGAGUACGGAAGAGGAAAGCGGAAUUUCUGGUGUAGCGGUGAAAUGCGUAGAUAUCAGAAGGAACACCGGUGGCGAAGGCGGCUUUCUGGUCCGUAACUGACGCUGAGAUGCGAAAGCUAGGGGAGCAAACAGG